UGGUGAUGAGGACAAAACUAUAGAGGAUAUUCUGUGAUUGUUUUAUACGCUAUUCUGAACCACAA